CCCUUGUGAGAUUGGCACUAGCAGCGUGGCGUUCUUCCAUUUGGCUUGUUGUAACAGAGAAAAAAAAAAUCAAACGAUACUGAUAAAUUAUGAUAAAUUAUGAAGGUAGUAGAUUAAAGGAGGUAGGCGAGACUCCAUGAGCCGCUUGAUGCUAGGAACAGGUGCCAAAGGGUCGAGCGAUAUUAACACUGAGAUAUACAUACUAUGGCUCAUUCGCUAUUUAUUUUCUUCGUGGCCUUUUCCAGGCCUUUCUCUAGAUAGAGCAAAGUGAGAGCAUGACGGAAUUGGGAUCAAUAACUACUACUCGACUUGCUUUGUUUAAUAUUUUUCAUUGAUACUUUCACACUCACUUGUCAACCGUUCUGGAGUAGCAUCAUGUUACAAGUGCUUCUAUUGAACUCAUCGAGUUUUGCGCAGUCAGGCGCGCGACACAGCGACGGGGUAAAGUGACGCUCAGUUUAUUAGCAUCGGGGAUCAGGCGGAGCGCUAGCUGCUGUUUUCAGCUGUCGGAAUUCAGCAAUUACUAUUACAGCUACGUGAACUAGUAUAACGAACGCUUAAAUCCAUUCCAGCACUUAUUAAAAAAUAUAUUGAUCAAAAAUAUUAAUAAUAUAUAUAUUGAUAAAAUGAAGUCACAGGUAAAGCAAUCAAGAAUGAUAUCACAUGUAAGCUAUUUUUUUUUUCUUUAGUCCUAAUUGCAAACCCAAUAAAAAUGGCUAUUUUAAAACGUUUAUAUUUGACGCACGCUAUCAGGGCCGUAACAGACGAAGGUAGACUGGCGGGUAUAAUCAAGGGACGUUAAGAUACUAAUGGGGCACAGUCACGACCCUACUUGAAUUCCUUGUAAUUUUGGAAAAAAAAUUGGGGGAGGCACGGACCCCCUAGUCCCUAUAGCGGUUACUGCGUAUGGUUCCGAAUGGCUUCGUGGCGCAGUGUCCAUGUCAUUACUGUCACAUGAACCCGACAAAAAGGUCGGUAAAGACUAUUCUAAAUGAGUAAAGUGGCACCAACUUCUACAAUCAUUUUAGUUCUGAUAGCUCUGUACUGUUUAUAAGGUGUAUAUUAAUGGUAGCAUCCUAUUUAAAUGAGGCGCAUCUCGAAAAUGAGUAAUUUUCAAUCUCCUCUUCCGCUUGCUAUCUAAUAUCUUUUCUUUAUCCUCACAGAUGCUUUCACAGCUUUGGUUCUGAUAAAAGAAAGAAGAAAGAGUAAAAGGAGAGCCAGUUUAGGUUGCUUAUAACAUGCGUCCCCUUAAAAGAACUCUCCAAAACGGUUCCCAGGAGGUCCCUACAUCUAAAUACUCUUACCACACUUAAAUUACUUAGUCAGUGUUAUUCAAUUUGAUAAGAAAUCGUCAAUGGAAGCUUUAAUUCUUGGGCGGAUCAACCAUUUAGCUGUAAGGGAGUUGGAUCCAAUGACAAUGGCAGGAAGGGUAAUUUUCUGAUCACACUUGUGUCUGACUGCUUUCACAGACACAAUAUCUUUGAAGGGAAUUCCAUCGAUGAAAUGUGAACCAAAUGAGCGUGUUUAGGUGGGAAGGCAUCCCGAAUAAGGAUGCCCUCCCUUGGAUUCCAAUUUCUCCUCUGUAGUUUUAUUACAAAAUCAAUAAAGCAGUUGAGAUGGAUAGGGACAUGUUUCAUCCAAAUGGAAAACUCAUUUCUAGACAUUUUUGUAUUUCAAUAAAUUUUCUAAAAGAAAUACAGUUGAGAAGGCCCUUACUCACUGUUCUAACACUUCUCCUCAUCACUGUUAUCUCCGCAGUCAUCAAAGCCAUCACAAACCCAGCCCUUCACCACGCAACGACCAUUCCUGCACUUGUGAUUCAAUGACAGAUCGCAAAUCUUAUCGCUAGCUGUUGAACAAAGUAUCAUGCCAAGUAAGAACUAUGUGUCUGUCUGUCCGUCCGUCCGUCUAUCUCUCUUUUUCCUCUCUUUAUCUCUGUCCUGUCUGUCAGUGUCUCUCUGUCUUUCUGUUUUUUUUUUCAGUCUAUUCUACACUUAUAUGUGUUGCCUCGCAUACUAUAAUCUAAACUCACAACAAGACAUCUCAUCACUGUUAUCCCCGCAGUUGUCCACACCAUCGCACCGCUGGACCAUCGGAAUGCAGGCCUGGUUUUUACAAGAGAACUCGAAAUGCGUGCAGCUGACUGUACCUGAAACCACAUAAUCAGUCGUGCCUUAGGAAACAUUUGAUAUUUGAAAGGGGGAGUUGUUGUUCUCUCCCCCCC